rnacentral:rRNA from 1 species
AUGGCGGCGGCGGUGGACCUGGAGGACGCGUUCGGCGCGGUCUUCGGCGAAGCCAAGCCGGAGGGCCACCCCACCGCGCGCCCCAUCCUCUUCCGCGCCCACGCCCGCUCCGCCGCCACCCUCCGCGUCGUCGCCACCGACUGCCACUCCCUCGCCUGGGGCUGCUCCCUCUCGGUCUCCGACCUCGACGACCUCAGAGACGAUGUUGGAAUCGGGGGCUCCUGGGUCGACUUCCUGGAUUACCUCAAGUCCUCCUUGUCCUCCGGCGAGGUGAAGCUGCUCUUCGCCGGCGACCAACUCCGCAAGUCAACCGGUUCUGAUGGUGCAAAGCUUGUGGCUACCAAGGCAAAGGGCCUGCCUCUCAUCACCAUUUCUCUCCAUAGUGUUACUGGCGCUGUGACGAGUGAUGUCAUAGCCGAGUUCUCGCUAGGGCUCUAUGGAGCUUAUAGGACUGCACGGGAGCUUGUAUCCAAAGAACAAGAACAAAUGUCACAGCUGAUGGGGAGUCUGUCAACUGAAAGAGAAAAGAACGAAAUCAUGCAAAAACAACUCGAAUCUCUUUCUUUCCUAGACAAAAGAAAGGCAACAAAGCCAAAGCUGUUGGCUGAUCAGGUUCCAAGUGUGUCUGCUGUGACUCUGGGCUCUGAUCAAGUUACAGCUCCUGUGCAGCAGCAAAUAUCAGUACCUUCACCUAGUAAAGCCCCUCCAGCUAAAGUCACGAAGAGGGUAGCCCCCACGUCUCGGAGGGCAAGGGUGCGAGGAGCUCUGCUGCAAGAUAAUGAGGAUGAGGAUGACAACUGA